rnacentral:rRNA from 1 species
UACGGAGGGUGCAAGCGUUGUCCGGAAUCACUGGGCGUAAAGGGCGCGUAGGCGGCUCAUGAAGGCUGUGGUGAAAGUCCGGGGCUCAACCUCGGAUCGGCCGUGGCGACUCGUGGGCUGGAGCACUGUAGAGGCGGGUGGAAUUCCGGGUGUAGCGGUGGAAUGCGUAGAGAUCCGGAGGAACACCAAUGGCGAAGGCAGCUCGCUGGGACGGUACUGACGCUGAGGCGCGAAAGCGUGGGGAGCAAACAGG